GUAGGGAAUAUUGGGCAAUGGAGGCAACUCUGACCCAGCCAUGCCGCGUGCAGGAUGACGGCCCUAUGGGUUGUAAACUGCUUUUAUACGGGAAUAAACCUCUCUACGUGUAGGGAGUUGAAUGUACUGUAAGAAUAAGGAUCGGCUAACUCCGUGCCAGCAGCCGCGGUAAUACGGAGGAUCCAAGCGUUAUCCGGAUUUAUUGGGGUUAAAGGGUGCGUAGGCGGCCUAUUAAGUCAGGGGUGAAAGACGGUGUCUCAACCAUCGCAGUGACCUUGAUACGGAUGGGCUUGAUUACACUUCAUGUAGGCUGAAUGUGACAAGUAGCGGUGAAAUGCAUAGAUAUGUCACAGAACACCAAUUGCGAAGGCAGCUUACUAAGGUGUCAAUGACGCUGAGGCACGAAAGCGUGGGGAUCAAACAGGAUUAGAAACCCCUGUAGUCC
rnacentral:rRNA from 1 species